rnacentral:lncRNA from 1 species
CUUUCAUUCUCUGAUUCAGGUGACAAGUUAUUGGGAUUUGGGUUGGAAAGAAAUUUAAAUUGAGUUAUCUUGUUGUCUCCCCUUGAGCCUUUUGUUAUUUAUAUAUUGUAUGUAUAAAAUCAUUACAUAGAUUUUUUAAGCUUAUGGGGCAAUGACCACAGUAAGAAAUUGAUUUUUACAUUGUGAUAUAACACACACACACACCUAAAAGCUCUACAAAAAAUAUAUUCUUACUAUAUAUGACUCACUUCAAUAUUUUCAUUCUGUUCCAUUUUAUUCUAAAUUUGUCUGGACUAGAUGUUCUGGCUGUGGCUCAGCAGGUUAAGAACUCAAUGUAGUGUCCAUGAGGAUGCGAAUCCAAUUCCUGACUUUGCUCAGUGGGUUAAGGACCCAGCUGCAGUGUAGGUGGCAGAUGUGGCUAGGACCCAGUAUUGCUGUGACUAUGAUGUAGGCUGGCAGCUAUAGUUCCAAUUUGACCCCUGGCCCAGUAAUUUCCAUAUGCUCACAUGUGUGGCCAUAAAAAAAAAUUUUAGUUAAAAAAUGAUUUUUAAAAAUAAACUAUAGUUUUUUGUUAUUAUCUUUUUUUUUUUUUGUCUUUUUAGGGCUGCACCUGCGGCAUAUGGAGGUUCCCAGGCUAGGGGUCUAAUUCUAGCUGUAGCUGCUGGCCACAGCAACACCAGAUCGGAUGUGCAUCUGCGACAUACACCACAGCUCAUGACAAAGCCAGCUCCUUAACCCACUGAGCAAGGCCAGGGAUCAAACCCACAUCCUCAUGUUUCCUAGUCAGAUUUGUUUCUGCUGCACCACGAUGGGAACUCUAAAAAAUUCUUUAAACUAGUCUAGACUAUUCAAAAUGCCUUUUGCUGUCCAUUAAAUUAAUUUCACAACCCAUUAAAGGAAUAUGACCCACAAUUUGGAAAAAUAUAUUACUUAAACUGUGGUUUAAAGGACAGUUUAGAGUAUUCUGAUGAAAUACAAAGUGUAACUAAAAAGUGAAUUUAAUUAGCAUUUUCCAAGAUUUUUUUUUCCUGUGGGAUCAUUAAUAUUGCUCAUCCAGUUCUUUGGUGGAAUUAUAAUGUACCCACAAUUUCACACUUUCCUUUUCCAAUUCUGAUGAUAAGUUGUAAAAACUGUAUAAUUAUAUCAGACUCCUUUCUACAUCCUCACAGAGACAGAGUCUUAGGUAGCUUCUUCCAAAGUGUUUCACCCAUGAAGCCUGGCAAGGUAGAGGGACAUGGUGCCACUUGGCUAUGGCAGUGGUGUGUGUAUACAUAAAGAAUCCACACUGAAAAUGGCAGCCAAGGAAAUGCCAGAGCUGGACCAGAGCAUCUAUCUGGAACCAGCACCAGAGAAAAUGACAGAACCAGGUAAAAGCCAAGUAAGGCAAAAUCUGAAAGUCAAGAACAGAGGGAGAGGGAGCAGGCAUAGCGCAAUCCCCAAACUAAAGAGUAAAAAGCCAUAGGGGCUCCUGAUCCUUUCAUCAUGGCCUUGUUUAGGAGCAUCCUGCAAACACUUAAAAGGGAAGCUCCAAAUCUGUUACCCAGAGAAUCACACUGAAGGAAACCUUCAGACUCACUCAUAAAAAUUAAUCCAUGGGCAAUUUUCCUUUAAAACUCUGAUAUUAAGUCAAAGUUGUCUGUGUUUCUUCACCUAUAUUAUCUAGUGGCAAAUGCCAGAAAUCUUAUCAUUUCAUUCAUAAGUACAUCAGUAUGUAUAAAAAAUUAUUUUUAAAAACAAGACCAAAGUUACAUCACACUUAAAAAGUUUUAGUAAUGAUGUCUUAAUGCCAUUCAGUAUCCAAUUAGUAUCCACAUUUCCCCAACUGCCCCAUAAUUUUUGUUUGCUUUUACAUUGUGCUUUUUCUAAUCAGGGUCCAAAUAGUCAGGACCCAUGCAUUUUAAUUGGUUGAUUUGUCUCAUUUUCAUUUGUAAGUCCCCCCUUUUUUUGAGCGAUAACAAGAUAAAAUCCAAAACCUCUUUAAAUAGUUGUGUCUUUCCAAAAUAUUGAGUGUUUAUUUCGACUUGUUUGUCAGCUAAGAAAAAUAGCUGCAGGCCUCCUCUGCAGGAAUUAGGGGGAAGAAAGCUUGCUUUAGGUAACAAGUUACCAAGGGCGAUGAAAAUGGCGCCUCCCUCACUCUGCUCUGUCCUUCCUGAAAUCUCCUGCAUUAAACUCCCCAAAGGCCUCUUUUAAAACACGGCUGCAUUAAAUUCCCAAGUAGCUCACAUUCUAUAAACAGGAAAUAUUAAUCUCUGAUAUUAAUCUUCCAGUUCUUUGCCAGAACAAUGUUUAUAAAUGUUGGCUCAUGGGGAUGACAAGCCUGGUGACUCAUCAAAGGAUCAGUUCUCUUCAGCAGAGUUUUCAUGUUGAGUGCAUUUCGAUAUCUUUCAAUUCUUAGAAAAUCCAAGUGUUUAUUACUUUUUGUGGGAUGGCACAUGCCAGAAUAGAAUGCUAGGUUUUCUAUUUCCAGGAGGAGUUUUCUUACAUUCACCUGAAUAAAUUUUCCUGUCACUAUUCAGUGGUUGUUUCUCAUCUUUCAAAAAUUCUAAAACAUGGAGAAAAGACAGGCCUUUCAAUAAGUGGUGCUCGGAAAACUGGACAGCUUCAUGUGAAAGAGUGAAAUUAGAACAUUCUUUAAUACCAUACACAAAAAUAACCUCAAAAUGAAUUAAAGACAUAAAUAUAAGACUGGAUACUAUAAAACUCUGAGAGGAAAACACAGAAUACUCUUUGACAUAAAUGGCAGCAGUAUCUGUUUGGAUCCACCUCCCAAGGUAAUGAAAGUAAAAAUAAACAAAUGAAACCUAAUUAAACGUAAAAGCUUUUGCACAACAAAGAAAACCAUUUUUUAAAAAAUGAAAAGACAAUCCACAGAUUGGGAGAAAAUCUUUGGAAACAAGGUGACCUACAAGGAAUUAAUCUCCAAAAUAGACAAACAUCUCAAACAGCUUUAUAUCAAAAAAACCCAACCCAAUUAAAAAAUGGUUGGGAAAAGGAUCAGGAUGGCAGAGGAGUAAGAUGUGGCACUCCCAUUCUCCCACAAAAAUAGUAAUAACCUGGAGUUCCGUCAUGGCGCAGUGGAAACAAAUGUGACUAGGGACCAUGAGGUUGCAGGUUUGAUCCUUGGCCUUGCUCAGAGGGUUAAGAAUCUGGCAUUGCUCACAGAUUCGGAUCAGACCUGGCAUUGGUAUGGCUCUGGCAUAGGCCGGCAGCUACAGUUCCAAUUGGACCCCUAGCCUGGGAACUUCCAUAUGUGGCAGGUGCAGCCCUAAAAGGACAAAAAAAAAAAAAAUCUACAUGUAGAAUGAUUCACACAGAACAUCUACUGAAUGCUGGCAGAAGAAUUUAAACCUCCAAAAAGGGCAAGAACCUUCCACACAACUGAGUAGAACAAAAGGAAAAAAGAGAGAGAGAGAAAUGUAAUCAGGAUGGGACUAGCACCCCUGAGAGGGAGCUGUUAAAGAGGAAAGGAAUCCAUACCGUGGGAAGCCCCCUAACCAACAGGGAGAUCAGCCAAGACAGAGGGACUUCAAAGUCUCAAAGAAAAGUACAGCAACUGAACUGAGGAGGGCAAAGCAUAGUGAGAGCCACACAGACCACCUCCCCAGACACCACAGACUGAGAUGCUCAAGCAGGGGCUGGGGGCAGAAAUGCAGGCUCUGGAGGUCAGUUCCAAGGGGAGGACUGGGGUUUCACUGAGGGGAGACAGCCUGAGGGGCUAGGGAGCAGUGUGCUAUGGGCUUGGGAAACAUACAUCAGAGCCAAGGGAACCCAGAAGGAGGUCUGGGCCCAGAGGAGAAGUAAGGUGACAUUUUGGGGGAGGGGAGUGGAAGAGGGGUAGACUGCCAUAGGAAUCUAUUUCCCUGUGCAUGGUGGACUCUCAGAGGGUGGGGAGACUCUGGCACAGUCUACAGGUGGUGAGGCACAACUUGCUUGGGCUGUGGGAGAUGGAGCACCUCUUGUGUAGGCUACAGGUGGCUUGGCACCUCUUGUGUGGGCUAAGGACAUCAGGGGUGCUAAGUGCAAUGUGGAACCUCUUGUGGGAUCUACAGACAGCAGGGACAAACCACAGCAGUCAUCCCAGAAAUCAGAGGGGUACAUGGCCUGCUACCACUAGGGGUCUGUGAACAGGUAACACUUGCGGCCCCAAUCACCUCAGAAGCCACCCCGGAGGAGGGCACUGCAGCCAAACACCACCUGUUAUUUCUCUCACCUCUCCCGCCCCCCCGGGAACUUACACACCCUGCUGCUGCCACUGCCAAAUGCUCCAGGCACCACCUAAUCUGUCUGAGGCUUAUUACCACUUCCCAGGGCCCUGCAACUAGGAGUAGCCUAAGCCACCUUCCCAUGGAUCCUUGCUAUUAUCAAGAGUCCAGUAACCAGGCACUGACUACUAGCCCUGCCCAUUGCCUCCUUCUCCCUGGAAACACAUGCAGCACCCUAUAAAGGGGAUAACAGCCUGCUCACACUGAGGAAAGAGAAAGCAAAUAUUCAAACACCCAUGCCAAAAAUAAAGAGUAAGCGCCCAGAAAACACAAAGGGGUGCUUUUGCAUAUAAAUAGGUCUCUAAGACUACAGUAGUUGAUUUUCCUAAACUCACAGAAUAAGAAAAAUAUAAGCAAAAUUUAAGAAGUUCAGGAACCAUUCUCAGUUAAAAGAACAGAAGAAUUCACCUAAAGCAGCAAUUCACUCUGACAGACAUUGAGUUCAAAAAGGAGACAGUGAAAAUACUGAAGGAAUUAAGGGUGAAUAUGAAGGAAUUAAGAGUGGAUAUAAAUAGUAAUGCAGAUUACCUUGGAAAGGAAAUAGAAAAUGUAAGGAGGAGAAAAGAAAAUUUAGAAAAUUCAUUUGCAGAGAUGCAAACUGACUUAAAUGCACUAAAGAGCAGAAUGAAUAAUGCAGAUGAACGAAUUAGUGACUCGUAAGAUAGAAUCAUGGAAAUUACCCAAUCAGGACAGCAGACAGAAAACCAAAUGAAAAAACAUGAAAGCAAUAUAUGAGAUCUAUGGGAUAAUAUAAAGCAGGCCAAUCUUCAUAUAAUAGGGAUUCCAGAAGGAAAAGAAAAAGAAAAGAGGAUUGAAAGUAUAUUUGAAGAAAUUAUGGCUGAAACUUUCCAAAUCUAAAGGAAAAAGAUAUCAAGAUACAGGAAGUAGGAGAUCCCAAAAAGUGAACCCAAACAGGCCCACACCAAGACAUAUUAUAAUAAAAAUGGCAAAAGUUAAAUAUAAAGAGAAUUAUAAAGGCUAGCAGCUGAUUUCUCUGUAGAAACACUACAGGACAGAAGAGAGUGGCAAAAUAUAUUCAAAGUUCUAAAAGGGAAAAAUUUGCAUCCUAGAAUAUCCUACCCAGCAAGAAUAUCAUUUAAAAUAGAAGGAGAAAUAAAGAAUUUCUCCAACAGACAAAAAUAAAAAUAUUACAGCAAUACUAAACCCAUUCUAAAAGAAAUAUGGAAAGGUCUUGUCUAAGUAAAAAAGUAAGAAGAAAUAGGAUGAAGGAAAUUACAAUUGGAAAGCAAUCACUUAA